rnacentral:rRNA from 1 species
AGAGUUUGAUCCUGGCUCAGGACAAACACUGGCGGCGUACCUAAGACAUGCAAGUCGAACGGGCGCAUCACCUUCGGGUGGAGCGUGAGUGGCGGAUGGGUGAGUAACGCGUAGGAACCUAUCCUGAUGUGGGGGAUACCAGUGGGAAACCGCUGCUAAUACCGCAUGUGGUCAUGGGGGGAGACCCCGAUGAAGAAAGGCGAUGAGCCGCAUCAGGAGGGGCCUGCGUCCGAUUAGCUCGUUGGUGUGGUAAGAGCGCACCAAGGCGACGAUCGGUAGCUGGUCUGAGAGGAUGGUCAGCCACACUGGGACUGAGACACGGCCCAGACUCCUACGGGAGGCAGCAGUUAGGAAAUUUUCACAAUGGGGGAAACCCUGAUGGAGUAACGCCGCGUGGAGGAUGACGGCCUUCGGGUUGUAAACUCCUUUUCUGCGGGAAGAGCAGAAGACGGUACCGCAGGAAGAAGCCUCGGCUAACUACGUGCCAGCAGCCGCGGUAAUACGUAGGAGGCGAGCGUUGUCCGGAAUUACUGGGCGUAAAGAGCGCGUAGGCGGCGCAGUACGACCGGUGUGAAAGCCCCCGGCUCAACUGGGGAGGGUCACCGGUAACGGCUGUGCUGAAGAGUGCAGGAGAGGGAAGUGGAACUCCGGGAGUAGCGGUGAAAUGCGUAGAGACCCGGAGGAACACCAGUGGCGAAGGCGGCUUCCUGGUCUGCGACUGACGCUAAGGCGCGAAAGCUAGGGGAGCAAACGGGAUUAGAUACCCCGGUAGUCC